rnacentral:rRNA from 1 species
AUGAACGCUGGCGGCGUGCCUCAUACCUGCAAGUCGAGCGAACAGAUGAGGAGCUUGCUCCUCUGACGUUAGCGGCGGACGGGUGAGUAACACGUGGAUAACCUACCUAUAAGACUGGGAUAACUUCGGGAAACCGGAGCUAAUACCGGAUAAUAUAUUGAACCGCAUGGUUCAAUAGUGAAAGACGGUUUUGCUGUCACUUAUAGAUGGAUCCGCGCCGCAUUAGCUAGUUGGUAAGGUAACGGCUUACCAAGGCAACGAUGCGUAGCCGACCUGAGAGGGUGAUCGGCCACACUGGAACUGAGACACGGUCCAGACUCCUACGGGAGGCAGCAGUAGGGAAUCUUCCGCAAUGGGCGAAAGCUUGACGGAGCAACGCCGCGUGAGUGAUGAAGGUCUUCGGAUCGUAAAACUCUGUUAUUAGGGAAGAACAAAUGUGUAAGUAACUAUGCACGUCUUGACGGUACCUAAUCAGAAAGCCACGGCUAACUACGUG